rnacentral:lncRNA from 1 species
UUAACUAAGUUGAAUUCAAUAGGAUUGAAAUGGACUAAGAGUUAAAGGGAUUGAAAUUUAAUUCAUAAGAUGGAUUAGAACAAGUGUUGUUCUCCCAACUAUUUCAAGGGUUAUAUGCGAUGUAAUUGGAAAAGAGUUUCCUACCUUAAUAUUCGUGUUUUGGGUGAAUCAGCUCACGUGUCUCAAAACAAGGAAAAAUAUGGAUCUUGGUUUCACUAUAAAAUCUUCCAAUGGGAUUUUUCGAGUCAAUGGUUAGGGUCAUUGAUUUGAGUAAAAUGGUGGGAGCAUAUUUAACAAAGACUUGUUAAAAUGGAUAGAGUCAUUGAUUAUGAGGCAAUCGUUCAAGUGGACUAAUUAGAGACAAUACAAUUUUGUGGUGUUGGUGAUUUAUCCUACUUGACGCUUCAAGAGGUAAAUACAUAAAUCUCAUGUAAAAUAUUGUGCGUGCGUGAUACAUGACAAUGAGUAAAUUUCUCUCUUAAAAAUAAUUUUAAAAUAUAUCUCAGUGGUAUCAGAGCCAUGGUCGUUUAUGUCUUAUUUUCGUAGGUGUUUGUUUACCUAUUUGAUAACAUGCCUAAAUAUUUUCUAGAAUAUGAUUUAUAUAAAAUAAAUGUUAUCAACUAAGAGUACUUGAUAUAUAUGAUAUUCAAUGCAUAAUUAUUGCCUCUAUAUAUUUGCAAAGUAUGUGCUCUCAAUGUUGAGCUAAUAUGUUAGAAAUUGAGAAUGCAUUCUUGCUCUUGUUUAAUAUUAAUAAGAAUAUUUGAAUCAGAAUUCAGAAUACAAUAGUUGCAAUAGUUUUGAUUUUGAAGUUCUUAAAACAUACCAUGCUCAAAAUUAGUUAUUAAUAUUAAUAGUUAUUAUUUGUAAAUAUUUUGAGAUGUAUUAAAUAAUUAAUUUUAAUUAAUCAUUAAGGGCACGUAGUUAUGAAUUUAUUAUUUUUUUUGGUUAUUUUAUUUUAUUUAAAGCGUGUGGUGAUUUAUUUUAAAAUAUGAUUUGCAUAGUGAUAAUUAAUUAAUUUAUUUUAAAUAGUUGUAACUAUUCACAAUGACUAGAGACAACACCAUACAUUGAUGCAAUGAUAUGUAAUAUGUGUGUUAGCAUGUUUUGUAUAUAUAUGUGUUUCAUAUGCUUUAAAAUGUGAGAGUAUAUAUACUCAUCAUUGCAUUUGGGCACAUGUUUCUAGCUUUUUACUUUGAUAUUUUAAAAGCUCUAUACAACUUAGAAUAAUUUUUUAAUUUGUUUCUAAACUUUGGGUCGAAAUUGAAUUAUAAUUUUAUUAUUAGCAUUUUGACCCCUGUUCGCUCUAUAGGUUAUAACUUGAGCUCUGGAUAUCGGAUUGACGCAUGCGAGUAGACGUUGGAAAACUAAAAAUCAAAGCCACAACUUUUAUGUUGGAACAAAAACCCAAUGCAGAACUUUAUAGGGCCAAAAUUACAGAUUUCGUUAUCUGAGCUUUUGUACUAAUUUUAAGUAUUGGACCACUUGUUUUUCAAG